rnacentral:rRNA from 1 species
AAUGCUCCAUAGUGGAUAUGUCUGGAAUGGUAUAUCCUCGAAAGAUCCGUCGCCUUAGGAUGGGACUGCGUCCGAUUAGGUUGUUGGCGGGGUAACGGCCCACCAAGCCAUUGAUCGGUACGGGUUGUGGGAGCAAGAUCCCGGAGAUGGAUUCUGAGACAUGAAUCCAGGCCCUACGGGGCGCAGCAGGCGCGCAAACUUUACAAUGCGAGCAAUCGUGAUAAGGAAACCCUGAGUGCCUGUCGAUGCAGGCUGUUCAUAUAUCUAAAUCAUAUGUGAAGAAAGGGCAGGGCAAGACCGGUGCCAGCCGCCGCGGUAAUACCGGCUGCUCGAGUGAUGGCCACUAUUACUGGGUUUAAAGCGUCCGUAGCUUGACUGUUAGGUCUCUUGGGAAAUCUUCACGCUCAACGUGAAGGCGUCUAAGAGAUACCGGCAGUCUUGGAACUGGGAGAGGUAAACCGUACUUCGGGGGUAGGAGUGAAAUCUUGUAAUCCUCGAGGGACGACCUAUGGCGAAGGCAGUUUACCAAAACAGCUUCAACAGUGAGGGACGAAAGCUGGGGGAACAAACGGGAUUAAAUACCCCGGUAGUCCCAUCCGUAGACAAUGUGCGUUAUGUGU